GAAAACAUUUCCACAGCCCUUAUCCUUUGCAUUAGAUGCUGAACUCCUGGCACUUUUUAAUACUUUUAUGACAAAAUUUUUAGUAAUCUUUGCUUCAUUGGUAGCUGGCUAGAGAAGUAAAUUUGCUGUCUUCUGUAUUUUUCUGAAGAGCGAAAGAGUCGUAACAAAUACUCUUUCAAAAUAUCUCCUUUCACUGAGUAACUAAAAGGCUGCUUCUAUUUUUCUUCUUCAUAUUGGAAACAAGAAAAUAGGUACAGCUCAGGUGGAGGUUUUCCCAGCACUGUUUCUUAUCUUGGACAUCUGGUUCGUCAUGCCUGAAGGAAACUCUAAGCAUAAGGCAAGCGCAGAAUGAUGUUUCCACUGAAAUUGAAUUCAGCAUCUAGGAAACUAUAUGAUGUGGGCACUUUCUGAGCAGGUGGUUAGCUUAUCCUUCAGAUUGUUCAAUGCCCAACAGAAACAGAUGUGAUCCACAAGGAUUCCUGCCAGUACCGAUAGGAGCAACAUUGUGGCCAUAGUUCAUGACCCCCCAUUAGCCCAACUCUUGGACACAUGAGCAUCUACAUGACGCACCUUUACAAACACAUUCUUUAUUCGGGCAGCAGCAAUGAGGAACAGCAGAGUGGAAGUGCCAAUUUAAAUCUACGUGAAAGCAAAGAGGAAAGGAAUGCAGCAGCAAGUACUAACCCAGUCCUGAACUCCCCUGGGAACCUGUGGGAACACAAAGCUGGAACCUCCCAUCCUGUCAGUGAUAACUACACCUUGUCUGUGCAAAUGCUGACUCUGAUUAUCUGUGUUGCAUGAUCUGUAUUCCAUAAUAAAGUAAUGU
ensembl:lncRNA